AUGCCAUACAACUGCUGCCUGCCCGCCCUGAGCUGCCGAACCAGCUGCUCCUCCAGGCCCUGCGUGCCCCCCAGCUGCCAUGGCUGCACCCUGCCCGGGGCCUGCAACAUCCCCGCCAAUGUGGGCAACUGCAAUUGGUUCUGUGAGGGCUCCUUCAAUGGCAAUGAGAAGGAGACCAUGCAGUUCCUGAAUGACCGCCUGGCCUCCUACCUGGAGAAGGUGAGGCAACUGGAGAGAGAGAAUGCAGAGCUGGAAAGCAGGAUCCAGGAGAGGAGCCAGCAGCAGGACCCCCUGGUGUGUCCCGCCUACCAGGCCUACUUCAGGACCAUUGAGGAGCUGCAGCAGAAGGAGAACGCCAGGCUGGUGGUGCAGAUUGACAACGCCAAGCUGGCUGCAGACGACUUCAGGACCAAGUUCUGAGGCAGCUGGUGGAGUCAGACAUCAAUGGCCUGCGCAGAAUCCUGGACGAGCUGACCCUCUGCAAGUCUGACCUGGAGGCACAGGUGGAGUCCCUGAAGGAGGAGCUGCUGUGUCUCAAGAGGAACCACGAGGAGGAAGUCAACACCCUGCGCUGCCAGCUUGGAGACCGCCUCAACGUCGAGGUGGACGCUGCUCCCACUGUGGACCUGAACCGGGUGCUCAAUGAGACCAGGUGUCAGUACGAGGCCCUGGUGGAAACCAACCGCCGGGAAGUGGAGGAAUGGUUCACCACACAGACUGAGGAGCUGAACAAGCAGGUGGUGUCCAGCUCAGAGCAGCUGCAGUCCUGCCAGGCCGAGAUCAUCGAGCUGAGACGCACAGUCAAUGCCCUGGAGAUCGAGCUGCAGGCCCAGCACAACCUGAGAAACUCUCUGGAGAACACCCUGACAGAGAGUGAGGCUCGCUACAGCUCCCAGCUAUCCCAGGUGCAGUGCCUGAUCACCAACGUGGAGUCCCAGCUUGGUGAGAUCCGGGCUGACCUGGAGCGUCAGAACCAGGAGUACCAGGUGCUGCUGGACAUCCGGGCCCGGCUGGAGUGUGAGAUCAACACGUACAGGGGCCUGCUGGAGAGCGAGGACUGCAAG
rnacentral:lncRNA from 1 species